rfam:Bacteroides fragilis NCTC 9343, complete genome
GUAAGUGAUUAUAGCACAAGGGUUCCACCUCUUCCCAUUCCGAACAGAGAAGUUAAGCCUUGUCACGCCGAUGGUACUGCAUAAUAGUGGGAGAGUAGGUAGUCGCCAGCU